UCAAAAAUCUCACUUCACUAUUGAAAAGCUGAGAAAAUUUCCAAUUGAAGCCAUACGUCACGUAUUUUUUUUGUAAGUGCAUUCAGGGGGUUUUCCGGCGGAUUAGAAAUUAACAAAUUUCGCCUCAAAUUGCUCCACAUCUCCACAUUGCCACAUCCACGCUAGGACACUUGGUAUUAAACGCCUAGUAUGAUCGAUCGACUUUCUGCACAUAUUUAAAAGAAAAGACGCACCCUCGAAGAUUCCUUGCUCAUAUACAUAUGCUCACAGAGACUCGAGUACGAUCAAGUUGCGGCGCGCCUCGCAACGAGUACGAGGAACAAGAGUCAUAAAUAGCAGGACAAACCGCAAAAUACCACCGAGAUAACCCCCGGAAGUCCUUUUCGGACGCAGUUACCGCUACAGUGCAGUUCAUUUUCCGUCUCUUGCAUCAUGUGCUUGCAUACAUAACACAUCAUAUCUAUUUACCAGUUUUUAUGAAAAAGAAACACGUUUUCUUGCGUCGGGUUCUCUCGUAAUAGAAUUGUUAGAUUUGAAUCUAACUGAUUAACUUGAAAAAUGUGACUAUUCUAUAAAAAAUGAUCUAAUUGUAAGCAAGAUAAUUAAUCAUACUAUUUAUACUUUUCAUGUACUUUGUAUUUCCAAUCGAAGAAUUAUUCUUUAUCACAUUACAUUAUUAUAAUGUAUUAACUUGUACUACAGUUCCAAGUGAAGACAAAUUGUUCAUGAAUGACUUUUACUACAGUUUUUGAACAUUUGCACAAUAACAAGGCAGUUAAAUAUAUUAGCCAUGCGAGAAGAUAACAUACAAAGGUAGCGUAUUUAUUAAUGCUCUUCAGUUUCACAUGAAUUUAACACUUUGUAAAUCAUUGAAUGAUUUUCAAAAAAAAUCUGACAAAAGAUGUAGAAAAUUUAUUCAUGGCUACUAGAUUUAACUACUCAUUUAUUAACCGAUUUUAACAUAAAAAUUGCAAAAAACCUUACUUAAUACUAUCUUAUGUUAUGAACGUUUGAAAAUUUUACUACAUCACACUCUGAACAA